ACGCUGGCGGUGUGCUUCACACAUGCAAGUCGAACGAGGUAGCAAUACCUAGUGGCGGACGGGUGAGUAACGCGUGGGAAUCUGCCUUUAGAUGGGGGAUAACGGGUCGAAAGACUCGCUAAUACCGCAUAUGACGAAAGUUGAAAGGAGUAAUCCGUCUAAAGAUGAGCCCGCGUCCGAUUAGCUAGUUGGUAGAGUAAAAGCCUACCAAGGCGACGAUCGGUAGCUGGUCUGAGAGGAUGAUCAGCCACAAUGGGACUGAGACACGGCCCAUACUCCUACGGGAGGCAGCAGUGGGGAAUUUUACGCAAUGGGCGAAAGCCUGACGUAGCGACACCGCGUGAGUGAAGAAGCCCCUUGGGGUGUAAAGCUCUGUCAGCUGGAACGAAAAAAUGACGGUACCAGCAGAGGAAGCAUCGGCUAACUACGUG
rnacentral:rRNA from 1 species